rnacentral:rRNA from 1 species
CCCUUAGAUGUCCUGGGCCGCACGCGCGCUACACUGAUGCAUUCAACGAGUUCACCUUGGCCGAGAGGCCUGGGCAAUCUUUUGAACGUGCAUCGUGAUAGGGAUAGAUUAUUGUAAUUUUUAAUCUUGAACGAGGAAUUCCUAGUAAACGCAGAUCAUCAAUCUGCAUUGAUUACGUCCCUGCCCUUUGUACACACCGCCCGUCGCACCUACCGAUUGAAUGGUCCGGUGAAGCCCCGGGAUUGUGAUGAGUUCCCUUCAUUGGGAGUUUGUCGCGAGAACUUGUCUAAACCUUAUCAUUUAGAGGAAGGUGAAGUCGUANCA